ACCGGCUGUUGCAGGAACUAACUCCACUGGCGAAACUACGUAUAGAAGGAAACAGAACUUUGUCCAAAUGUCAGAGCGCAUGCCAAUCUCGUUGUCCAGAUGACAGAGCUCACGCCCAUCUCAUUGUCCAAUGUCAAGACGUGCUUCGAAUGUCAGAAUGCCGCCCAUCUCGUUAUCCUCCCACUAAAACUUCAGUAAAGAUUUUUACUUUCGACGUGUUGAAGUCACCGAAACGGAACUCUGAGUAUGAAUGCAUCAUACGGAAGUAAUGACAAAAGCCUGCGAUAUAAUAAUAAGGCUUAGAAGUAACAAUUAAAAUUUUCAAUUAUAUGGACGAUGAGAAGUAUUUAAGCUUCUGCCGGAAAUAAAGAAAGGAGACCAAGGGGGACGUGAAGGCUUUUAUAUGGAGAUUUAGAAAGUAAUGAGGGAAGGAGCCCAUGCAAGAUGUGAAGGACUAUACAUGAAAACAGCAGAUAGAAAAUGAGAAGAGGAGAGACCAAGAGUGACGAGAAGGCCUUAAAGACAUGGAAGCUGUAGAUAAGGAAUGGAGUAGACCAAGGAAGACGGGAAGGCGUCGCCCUGUGGUAGCCGCAUGGAACAAUGAAGAGAGAAGACUAGAAAAGUAUUACUUAUGAAGAUUUGCAAUGAGCAGAUAGUGAGCCAAGAAGAGAAGGACCAGAAACAAGGAAGAAGCAGAGAAGGCCAAAAAACAUCGAAAAGAGAAGGGCGAACAGCACGCGAGAAGCAGUAGAGAAGAAAAACAAGAAAAAAGCAGACAACCAAACAAGAAAGUAAAACAAGGAAAAACCAGAAAACAGUAGAGAAGAACAAACACAAAGGGAAAAAC